UCUAAUCAUGUGGCAUUGACCAGAU
rnacentral:piRNA from 1 species